rnacentral:lncRNA from 1 species
UGAUGCGUAAACGUAAACGAUGUCAGUAAAUUCCUGGAGUUUCUAAACAACAACAGACUGAAAGAAAAAGAAACGGAAAAGAAAUGAAAUUUUAUGUGUCGGGUGAAUCAGAUACUGAGACAUAUAUAUACGAAUAUAUACAGUCAUGUGAAAGAUAUUAUUAUGGGUAUUAUAGAUACUAGGUUUAAAAUGGAAAAACAGUCAGGGCGAUAAAAUCAAAUGCACAAUUUAUUCACCGAUAUUUUCAUAUUUUUUCCGUCUAAAUCCCGUUUACUUCCUUGACAGGAGGUAAAUACAGGUGAAUGAACUGCACAUUGUUUACCUAUUGGUCUGGUUCAAAACCAAUUAAACCUACACAUUUUUUUCCUCAGUCUUACCGUAUUUUCCGUCCUAUAAGUCACACUUUUUUUCAUAGUUUGACUUAUAUAUAAAAAUGUAUAAUUUCACGUUUGUUAUUUUCAUCCUGACAGCCGCUAGAGGGCGCUCUAGGCUUGUGUACCACUAUCUGCUACUCCUGUACCACCAACAUGUAAAAACCGGUAAUCGAGCAGCAGAAAAAUAGUGUGGAGUGGGCGAGAAACUUGUGAGGGCGAAAAGCGGAGGUUACUCUUACUGCAAUGAAGAAAACAUAAAAACCUAAUGGCGGGCUAAAAGCUCGAUGGCCACAGCUAGAGGAAAGAGUUUGCAAAUGGCUGCUUGAACAACGUGCUGCCGGGAGAGGCUUGUCAACCAGAUCUCCAAAGAAAUGCAGAGGAUGGAUACCAACAGGCCCGCACCGUGGAGCUGCAGCAGAGGUCCUCGUCUGUGGCCACUCAGCAGACCACCGUGUCCUCCGUGCCCUCACACCCCUCCACCACCGGAGUAAGUCAGAGUACAAGCCUCCGGUUUAUGAAUGAGGACUAUUCUUUGACUAAUGUAACAAACAGGAAACACUGAAGCAAUACCAAAGACAGGCCAAGUUAAAGCAAUGUAAAAACACAGUAUAGUAAAGGUAAAACAUCUAAAAAACA